rnacentral:rRNA from 1 species
AUUGAACGCUGGCGGAAUGCUUUACACAUGCAAGUCGAACGGCAGCACGGACUUCGGUCUGGUGGCGAGUGGCGAACGGGUGAGUAAUGUAUCGGAAGGUGCCCAGCCGUGGGGGAUAACGUAGUGAAAAUUACGCUAAUACCGCAUACGAUCUAUGGAUGAAAGCGGGGGAUCGCAAGACCUCGCGCGAUUGGAGCGGCUGAUAGCAGAUUAGGUAGUUGGUGGGGUAAAGGCCCACCAAGCCAACGAUCUGUAGCUGGUCUGAGAGGACGACCAGCCACACUGGAACUGAGACACGGUCCAGACUCCUACGGGAGGCAGCAGUGGGGAAUUUUGGACAAUGGGCGAAAGCCUGAUCCAGCCAUUCCGCGUGCAGGAUGAAGGCCCUCGGGUUGUAAACUGCUUUUGUACAGAACGAAAAGGUUUCUACUAAUACUAGGAGCUCAUGACGGUACUGUAAGAAUAAGCACCGGCUAACUACGUGCCAGCAGCCGCCGUAA